rnacentral:rRNA from 1 species
GGCGUAUACAGGUUUAGAAUCCCGUUAGGCNNCCGGUUGGCACCCGGUAACGGUAGUCUCCUUCGUACAAGNGGAGUUUGUUUGGGAAUGCANCCUCUNAAUGGGUGGUNCAUUCUAUCUAAAGCUAAAUACCGGCCAGAGACCGAUAGCUCACAAGUAGAGUGAUCGAAAGAUGAAAAGCACUUUGGAAAGANAGUUAAACAGCACGUGAAAUUGUUGAAAGGGAAGCGCAUGCUACNAGACUCGACGGCGGAAGCUCCGCCGGUCUUCUGACCACGGNCGACUCGCCGCCGUCGGGCCAGCAUCGCGUGGGCGCGCCGGACAAAGGCGCGGGGAAUGUGGCCCCCCUCUGGGGGGGUGUUAUAGCCCCGCGUGCGAUGCGGGGCCGCCCGCGCGAGGUCCGCGCUUCGGCUAGGAUGCUGNUGUAAUGGUCGCAUGCGGCCCGUCUUGAAACACGGAACCAAGGAGUCUAACCUCUGUGCGAGUGUUGGGGUGUCACACCCCUACACGGAAUGAAAGUGAGGGGAGGUGGGAGCUUCGGCGCACCAUCGACCAAUCCUGAUGUCCUUGGAUGGAUUUGAGUAAGGAGCAUAGCUGUUGGGGAACCCGAAAAAAUUUUUAACUAUGCCUGAAUGGGG